rnacentral:rRNA from 1 species
CUCUGUGACUCCUACGGGAGGCAGCAGUGGGGAAUAUUGCACAAUGGGGGAAACCCUGAUGCAGCCAUGCCGCGUGUGUGAAGAAGGCCUUCGGGUUGUAAAGCACUUUCAGUAGGGAGGAAGGUAGUGUAGUUAACACCUGCAUUAUUUGACGUUACCUACAGAAGAAGCACCGGCUAACUCCGUGCCAGCAGCCGCGGUAAUACGGAGGGUGCGAGCGUUAAUCGGAAUUACUGGGCGUAAAGCGCAUGCAGGCGGCCUGUUAAGUCAGAUGUGAAAGCCCCGGGGCUUAACCUCGGAAUUGCAUUUGAAACUGGCAGGCUAGAGUCUUGUAGAGGGGGUAGAAUUUCAGGUGUAGCGGUGAAAUGCGUAGAGAUCUGAAGGAAUACCAGUGGCGAAGGCGGCCCCCUGGACAAAGACUGACGCUCAGAUGCGAAAGCGUGGGGAGCAAACAGGAUUAGAUACCCUGUAG